CUGCGGAUUUGAAUUUGUUUUCAAGUGGUAGGGGAGCGUUGUGUAAGCCUGUGAAGGUGUGUCGUAAGGCAUGCUGGAGGUAUCACAAGAGCGAAUGCUGACGUGAGUAACGAUAAUGCGAGUGAAAAGCUCGCACGCCGGAAGAUCAAGGGUUCCAGUCCAACGUUAAUCGGGGCUGGGUGAGUCGACCCCUAAGGCGAGGCCGAAAGGCGUAGUCGAUGGGAAAUCAGUUAAUAUUCUGAUACUUGUUUAUAAUGCGAUGGAGGGACGGAGAAGGUUAUGUCAGCCUGGCGUUGGUUGUCCAGGUGAAAGGAUGUAGGCUUGUGGCUUAGGUAAAUCCGGGCUACUACAUGGCUGAGAUCUGAUAGCAAGCUGUACUUGUACAGCGAAGUGGCAAAUACCAUGCUUCCAGGAAAAGCUUCUAAGCAAUAGUUAUAAACGAAUCGUACCCUAAACCGACACAGGUGAUCAGGUAGAGAAUACCAAGGCGCUUGAGAGAACUCUGCUGAAGGAACUAGGCAAAAUGGUACCGUAACUUCGGGAGAAGGUACGCUGUUGAUGGUGAUAGGACUUGCUCCUUGAGCUGUUGACAGUCGCAGAUACCAGGCUGCUGCAACUGUUUAUUAAAAACACAGCACUCUGCAAACACGAAAG
rnacentral:rRNA from 1 species